AACAAGGGAAGCGCGAAACCGUACGGAUUUGAACCUACCAUGAAAGAGGGAAGGUCACGGCUGGCGAGGGAUAGCGGCAGUCCUGGUAAUUCUAUUGAACAUAAAGCGCCAUUAGGAUGAGUAGUACAAGUAUUCUUCCGGAUGAGGUCUUUGUAACCGCUAAAAUAAUAGUAGUAGAUGUCAAAAACAGUGGCUGGCUGAAUCCACACGAGCACGGAUGGGAGGUGGAGCUCACGCGCCGCUUCAGCGGCCCAAGGGAGAAGUAUUGUGUAGAUUAGGCAAGUGUAGGGGCGGCCCUCCUUUGCACUAGACACAAUAAGGUCAGUGAUGGCUUGUGCACCGCAACGUCUAAGCUCUGACAUGUAGUGGUCGAUAUCAUCGCCAUCUUUGAAUCCAUUGUCGUAGCCGUCAGAGUAGAGCGAAUAGGUCAAGCCAUGAGGAGUUGAGCCAUUCCCUAUGCGGCUCUGGGCAGAGAGGCUCGUGACAUACGUGACAUGUGCCCCAGUAGUGCGGACAAGAUGCUUUGCGAACUGGAGGGAAGGGUUGAUAUGGCCUUGGGCCGGAAAUGUCACGAGGAGGAACCGGUGUUGCACCAUGGUGGUCGCUGCGGUAGUGGUGGCGCGCGGCAGAGCGUGGAGUUGUUGGGACAAUAUUGGGGGCUUUUUUUUUCUUUCUGGUCUGAAGACGAUAUUGGGUGUUUUUGUGUGGGCUUAGCUGAAUGAAGUGAAAUUGUUGUGGGAUAAUACUGUGAGAGGUAGAGAAUGUGGAGACUUAAAUAAGGGAUUGGGGUUUGUCCAAAAUAAAAAAAUAAAAAAAUAAGGGAUUGGGGAGAGAGAAGUGACGUCUGUGGUGACGAAUUGAAAACGCUAAUGACAAGAGAAAUGACAUGGUUAUUUGUGUGAUUCGCAAUUUGUGGGCCUUGUCCGCAUGCAUGUCUUUUGUAUAUAUCAUUUUCAAAUUUUUCAUUAAGUCCAAAAUAUAUCUGAGAUGGCGAGAGAGACGAGUAGUACAUAAAUUCAUGAUCACAAAACUGAUUAAUAUAAACAUGCAAAGUAGUAUAUGAUUUGUCAGUUUAUUAUUAAAUUGAUACUCUGGAUUGGAUUGAAUUGUGUUUUAUUAAAUUAUUUUGUAAUAUUUAGGAUUUUGUAUUUUUACUCAAAUUAUGUAUUGGAGAAGUUCAAAAUCUUUGAUUUUGCUUGUAUGAAAAACAAUAUAACUCUCAAUAGCGUAAUUUACACAUGUUAUCUUGUCACAUGUAUAGCAUAGUACAAUAUAUUAUAUUUUCUCUUAUGUGAACGUCUAGAUGUUAUUAUCAUUCGGAAGCCAUAUAUUUUUUACUAUCUUUUUUUUCCUUUCUCCCUAUUUACAGUGACGUUAACAUAAUAACGUCUAAACAUCUGAAUAAGAGAAAAACUGGUAUGAUGUGAAUCCUACAAAAUAAACCAAAUAAUUGUAGUUAAAUAUUCAUUACGAAAUGACACAAAAUGCUGUUUUAGUUUGUUUUUCAAAAGAAAAUUGUAUUUUACUACUAGUCUCUUCCACUAGAUUAGAUUUGUGGUAAACUAUUCUUUAAAUUCCUAAUUUGUAAUCAGAUGAGAAGGAUAUUAUGAUUAAUAAUUUGUGUUCUUGUCUUCAGGCAUAUGCAUGUAUUCGUUUUCAAUUUUUCAUCAAAGCUCAAAAGAACGUAGCAUGGACUAGUAGGUCUGACAAGGUCUGACGGAGGGAGAUGCAAAGUUAGUGACAACAAACUGAUGAAUGCACAUGCAAGUGUUCUAUUUGCCAAGUUAUUCCCAUUUUGUAUGCCAAAUUGGAUUUUGCUGCUUUCCACUAGAAAAAUUUGUUUGUUCCACAAAUAAAAAAGCCUAGUAAAAUAAUUAGUCUACAUGAAUGCUUUUUAUGCUUGAUUUCGCAUAAUACGUAGAAUAAAAAAAAAUACGUAGAAUAAAUAUUUGUUUUUUCCACCAAAAAAUACGUACAAUAAAAAACCUAUCCCAACAUGAAUGCUUGAUUUCGCAUUUGAAUUCACAUUAAAAUUUGUAAUUCAAUAACAUAAAAAUUUAAAAUUAAAUUAAUUAAGAGGAAUAGUUGAUCCUAUUUCAUAUCAUCUCCCUUUAUUUCUAAUUUCUAACUUUCUUGGUGUCGUCACAUGUGUUCUUGCGUUCGUGCAUGUGUCAUUUUUAGUUUCUCAUAAAGUUCAAUAGAACACAACAUGGACUAGUAGGUGUGAUGUGGUCAGAGGGACAAGUAAUGAACUCACGAUGACAAUAUACUUAAAAAUACACAUGCUAUGGUUGCCUAGUUAGAUCCGGUAAUUUUUUUCACUAUUGGCUUGUCUAAGACUCCCUUACCAGCAAUGCUAAAAAAGCUCUGAAAUUACUUGUAGGAUGACAAAAAAUGUCUAGAAGAUGGUGAAUAGCCCAAUUUAAGAUUAUAAUCAAUAAAUAAAAAAUAAAUUUCGGUAGCAAAAUUGAUAUGGCUUAUCAAUCCUGAAACGUGCUGAGCAUAAAAUAAAAGAACAUGCAAAUAAUUAUUUUAAGUGGUAAAACCCCACCUCUGGGGAAAAUCCAUGGGACUCCUCAGUCCAACACAAAUCCACUAUAGAACGAAGAUUACAAGAAGUACUCACACACUUAUCCUAGACACAUUCUAAAUAAUGUUUACCGACUUCUUCGUAACUCAAGUUCUAUCACGGGAUGAUUUUCGACACUCCUUGUGUUGAACAUAAUAUUGGUCACGAUUGCUUCAAGCUAGCCAGAGGAAAACUGUCACCACAGUCUUGAUGCCCUCAACCGUAUGAGUCACUGAACAAUGCAAAUGAAUGCAAUAUGAAUGAUGAGAGUGUUUGAUAAAUUACCAAGUAAACAUGGAAUACUUGAUGAUUUAUCUCAAAUAAAAAUGCAGCUUUCUUAAACGUUUAAGCACCCAAAAUUAUAGUUCAAAAGCUAUACAAGAAGAAAAACAUCAAGCCUUAUUUUAUAUAACUUUUUCUUUUCUAGAAAGAAAAGUCCACAUCCAAAAAACAAGCAAUUUCAUUGAAGGCUAACCAAAGAUAUGUUUCCUAAUCAAAACCAAAUUACAUGAUUUGCACGAAUUGAAUAAAAUCAAAAAGAUAUUUUCCUAUUCUAAUGAUGAUCACACAUGAAGCCCAAAACAAUAGGAAAGUGAAAACCUAAAUAAAGAAAAUUUAUGAUAAUCCCACCAUUAAAGGAGUCCUAAUAUUCUUUCGUCAACUACCAAGAAUAUCUCAACACCUUUAAUAACGUGAUUUGGUUAAAACUUAAUUUGCAAGUAAAUUACUUUAAAAGAUAAGUAACAAAUCAUGGAUAAGAGAAACAAAGAGUAAAUAAAAAGAUAUUGCAAAAUAUGCCUAAAUGAGAUGCACUCCUAAAUGGAUUCUAAUUGAUUAAAAUUAAGGAAGAUCAAGGAAAUAAAAUCAUAUUAGAUUCCAAAAAAUGUUCCAAUUAUGAGUGCAUGAAAAAUGACAUGUCUUACCCUUCAGAUCAAAUAGCUCAUACUUGUUAAGUCACAAUUCUGGAAUUUGGGGGUUGCUUAGCUAUUUCAAUCCUACAGUUUUUAGAAAUCAGAGAUAGCGAUUUUGCUUCAACCCUACAGUUAAAUGACACUUCCAAACCAAUACUAAGUUCUAGGAAAUGCCAACACAAUUUCAUACUAACAAGCUCUCUAGCCUUAGCAGAGAAACAAAAACCCCCAACCCCUUCAAUGUCGCAUGUUGUGGGGGAGGUGGUCUGCCCCUCCUCCCCUCCCCUACUCUUCCUCCGUCUUCCUCAUUGAAUCACACUUAUCUCCUUCUCACCCUUUUUCCAAUUUGGUGGGAUGAAUACUAUGGGCAUGAUUUCCCCUAUCACCACCAUCUUUACCCUACAUGUCCUGCUCCACACUGACCCAAAAUUGAUGGCUCAUCUGGAUUCCUUCACCUCCCCUUUGAUCUGGCCUUAUCCUUGGUUUGUCGCUGUAAAUUUUAAACACGGUUUGGCACGUAUUUAUUGGAAGGUGUGUAAAGCUUUAGCUCGGGUGCUUGCACCACCUCCUUCUAGGUCCUUGGUUCUUUUCCCUUGGCUGUGGAAUGGGUUUUCUCGUUCUUUUUUUGCUGGAUGCAGUCUUUUGGAUGUAUUGGUUGGGUUAAUUCUGGAUCUGUUAGUAAAUCUCGGGUGGGCUAUGUUUUGAGGGAUGUUUGGCUUGGUUUGCUAACUUACUGGUGUUUGGUUCUUCUUGGUGGUGAUUGGUGGUUUGUCCAUCUACAAUUGCUGAGUUUCUCUUUGCAGGUGGCCACUCGGAGUUUCACAUUGGUUGUGGCAGCUAGGUUUCCUGUGUUUUAUUUUAUGUAUUUUAUGUUUAAUGUAGGCUUUAUGCUGAAUGUGGGCUAAAUUCUUUUUGUUCGCUGUUGACGUUUUAGUUUUUGGCUCGGGAAAAUGAUCUUCAUGCUAUGCUGUAUUGGUUUUAGCUAGUGUUCAUGUUUGUUUCCUGUUAGUUUUAUGGUCGGUGUUUUUGUUCGGAUUUGUUUGUACUGUUCUCUGUCCUUUUAGGGGUUUGCAAUGAAUUGGAACUUCGAUCCAAAAAAAGAAGAAGUUAGAUCCGAUAUGCCGACUUGCAUUAGGCCUGUAUUUUACCAAGGGCGGAGCUAGCAUAGGACCAGUGUGGUCCCAGGCCUCCACUCCAUUUUUAUCUCUUUUAUUUGUAUAUUAUACAUGAUAUAUAAUAUUAUAAUAUAUUAGAUUAGUUUUAGGAUAUUUACCCUAAAAUAAAAUAAUAUAUUAGGUUCUUUUUGUCUACAAAUAAACCAUAAAAUUUCAUGCUCUACCUUAAAUCUUCUAGGCUAGUUAAUGAUAUUUGCAAUAUAAACUCCUAAAGUUUUAACCUUUUUUUCUCUUCCUCUUUUGUUUAAAGCUUUGUGAAUUUUUUAUUUUCCUCAUGAAGAUGAAAAUUGGGUACCUUAAUAUUGUGCUUUAUGAACUUUUUUUUUUCCAUUUAUUUUCUCGGUUGGAAUAUAAAUGAUUAAUUUUUAAGUCUUUAAUAGUGUAGAUGAUGAAAUUAGUAUUUAACCAAUUUAAAAUAUGAAAUUAAUAAUAAUUAAUGUAUGAAGAGAAGACAAGUUUUGUGAAGAACCCCCUUUAAUGUGAAAUCCUGGUUCCGCCACUGAUUUUACUAAAUCGCAUUAUGUAGUGUUGUGUACAAACUGAAAUAGCUAGAUAAUACCUCGUGGAUGCUAAAAAAAAAUCAAAUAGUACCAUCUAGAUGUCAAAAUAGUGGCCUUGUUAAAACAUCACCAUAAAAUUUCUAAUAAAAAAAAUUUCAGUUAAAGAAAAAGAGUACCAUUACAUCCAUAACAAAUAGAAAACAAAACUGCCCCCUCCAAAUCAUAUUCCAGCAAACACUAUUUAAUUUAUAAGAGUAUCCACAAUCACGCUCUUUAUUUUUUAGUUAAAAUUUAGCUAAAAACAAUAGAAAGCUAUUUUAAGAACUGUUUAUAAAAUUUCAACUCCAACCACGCUCCCUAGUUUAGAAAAUCAUAAAUGAAUUAUUUCUUUUUUUAAUUUAUCAUAAAUGCUCCCUCUUCAUAUAAAAUAAUAAUAAUAAAUAAUUAGCAUUAAAGUAAAGCAACAUUUAAUUAUAGGGAGCCACUAGAGGUCUCCUUAUUUUAAAAGUUGGAUAUGGAGAAUGGUUGGAGAUGGGUUUCCUCAAUUCCUCCCUAAAUUUUAUCUAAGGAGGUGGUUUAGUAAGUCCAUUGUAGAUGCUCUAAUUAGUAGGUUUUAAAGAUAAAUUAUUCGCUUCAUUAUUCUUUGUUGAAAAUAUAAAUUUGUAGUAAAUUGAUAAAAAGUUCAUAAUCAAAACUAAAAUCUUCCUAAUCAAUUUUUAUAAUCAGAAGUACAAUGACUAAAGUUCUCUAAAAAUUUUGUGGAGUGUACUGCUUAGAGCAUCUACAAUCAUUCUCCCUAUUUUUAAGGUAUCUAAAAAUACACAAAAGUUAUUUUAGGAGCUCUCUAUAAAAAAUAAAAUAAAAAAAUAGUUAAAUUAAAAGUUUAAACUACGCAUAAAACAAAGCAACAUUAAAUUAUAGGGAUUCAGGAUUUCUUGUUUGUGGAGUCCUCUCACAAAAUAUAAACAAUUAAAAAUUUGAACUCACAAUACAUACCAAAACAUCGUAUAUAUCACAUAUAUAUAUAAUCAUAUUGGAUAUUCAUUACAAUCAUAAUUGUCCUUGACAAGUUUUCAUAUUUUGAAAUCGUUGUAUAAUAUCCUCAUCAUCUAUACUAUUUCUCAAUAUAUGCUACCAAACUAUAAUUUAACCACUAACUCAAACUUUGAUUUUCUUUUGACAAAUAGUUCAGUAAUUGAAAAACAUAAAUGAAUUACAUUUAAAUCAAAACAAGUACAAACAUCUUCUCAAACUUAUAAAUCGAAACAAAUUGGGCAAUCAAUUCAAAGUAAUUAAACCAUUAGAAAAUCCACUACUACAAAAAUUGGAAUGGACAACGAGAAUCCACCGUUGUCUAGAAGGUUUUUAAACCGUCGAGAAAUCGACCGCCAUCGUUUGAUACAUAAAACAACAACGGCAAAAAAGGUCAUCGUUAAGACAUACAACGUCAUACCAAAAUAAAAACCGAUGUCUAAUUACUAUAUAAAUAGCAAAAAGGAAAAACUUCGACAGCCUUAGAUGAUGAUUUUAGGAAAAUAGGGACGUCUAAAGCGUGUUACAUGUCAAGAACUACAUACAUGAUGACGUAAAAAAAGUUACCCACGUCUCUAUUUGAAAAAAUAUUGUCAUGUAAAAUGUCGAAACCGUCAUGGUUAAUAUAAACAACGUUUACUAAAUAAAAAAAACUGACGUCUAAAAUCUAUAAAAAAGCAAUAACAAGAAAACGACGAUCUUAGACGACGCUUACAGAAAAGAACAGACGUCUAAAGAGCAUUGCAUGUAAAGAAUUAUAUCGUAGCUGACGUAAAAUGUAUUAACCACGACCCAUGUGUAGAACAAUCGACGCUUAUAAAAUAUUCGACAUUGCCACGCAGGUAAAAACUACCUAGUUAAAGUUAUUCUAUGGCUGCUUCUUGUGAUAACCGAUGUUUAAAUAAUGAAAAAAAGCCACUUGGACAACGUUAGACGACGCUUUUUUUAAAACACUGAAGUCUGAAUAAUUUAACAUGACACAAUUUUAUUACACACCGUCGUAACAAACCCUAACCACGACCCAAUUGUUUACCCAUAGUUGUUAAAAAUGAUUUUGAUGGCGUGAACAGGAAAUAAAACGCCUUUGAUCAGAGUUUGAACGGCAGUUAAUGUAAAUUAAAGUUACUCUGUACAUACCCAAAUUUCUUCAUAGAUGUUGCAAAUCUCUCAAACUACGCUCUUGGAGACUGCUACAAUCCAUAUAAAGACUUCCACAGCUUACACACAACACCCUCCUUUGAGGUUAUAGGAAUACCAAGAGGGAGAUCCAUGUAAAUCUCCUCCUUAAGGUCACCAUGUAGAAACACAUUUUUGACAUCGAAUUGUAAUAAGGGCUAAUCGUGGUUAGCAGCCAGGGACAAUAUUACACGCACAGUAUUGAGCUUUGCUACUGAAGCAAAGGUCUCCAAAUAAUCAACUCCAUAGGUCUGAGUAUAACCCUUUGCUACCAAUCUAGCCUUGUAACGGUCAUGGAACCAUCAGCUUUAUGCUUCAAAGUAAAAACCCAUCUGCAUCCAACAGUUUUCUUCCCUCGGGGCAAAGGAACUAAAUCCCAUGUUUUAUUCUUGUUCAAGGCAUCCAUUUCAACAUUCAUGGCAUCCAUCAAUUUGGGGUUAGAUAAAGCAUCAUGCAGCAUAGUUGGCACACAUACACUAGAUAAUUGACACAAACAUGAUGCAUACGACUUAGACAAACGAUGAGUUGACACACAAUGUCUAAUGGAAUAUUUAGACUUGGCAUGUAUAUCAGGAGAAUAUUGUACCUUAGAUUUCUCACGAGUGGUUCGUUGGGGUAACUAAUAAGUUGACAGAGAUAGAUCAUUAGAAAUUACCUCACUUGAUUCACUAUCACGAGUAGAUUGGGGCACUGGCAGGGCAGAGGGGGGUAUUGCAUCAACCUCAUCCAUACAAGAAUCACUGUCAUUAUUUUCAGAUACAGGCGACUGGUCACUUGCUUCAGUGUGACCGGUCGUUUCGACACCAAGAGCACCUGCUUCUUUUUCAGAUAUGGGCGACUAGUCGAGUUCUAAAAGGCGAUCAGUCAUUUCUUCACAGGGACCACAAGUUUCAUCUUCAUAUAUGGGCGACCGAUCAUUUGCUUCAGUGCGACAAGUCGUUUCCUUCCUGAAAGCAGUAUCUUCAAACACAUCAUUCUCCAAUCCAAGACUCUACAAUUCGCUCCCACUCUCCUCCUAAAUUAGAAGGGAAGGAGAGACAUAAUAGGGCACUUCUUCAUGGAAAGUCACGUCCAAAGUAACAUGCACCUUCUGGGUAGGUGGAUAAUAGCACUUAUAACCUUUCUGAGUAGAAGAGUAACCAAUAAAAACACAUCGCAGAGCACAAGGAUCAAGUUUACCUCGUUGAUGAGAGUAGACAUGAACAUAGGCAACACACCUAAAAACUUUAGGGGGUAACUUGGAGAUUGAGACAAGGGAAACAUGGUCACCAAACACAUCAUGUGGAGUCUUGAAAUCAAGAACCCGGCUAGGAGUACGAUUAAUCAAAUAUGCAGCAGAUAAAACAACAUGCCCCCGAAGAUGAUGGGGAACAGACAUGUCCAACAUAAGAGAGCGGGCAACUUUAAGUAAGUGACGAUUCUUGCGUUUAGACACACUAUUCUGCUGAGGAGUAAAUGGGGUUGUCGUUUGGUGAAUAAUACCUUGAGCAAGGAAGAAAGAUGACAAAGUGUUAUUCACAUAUUCGCCUCCGUUAUCAGUCCAGAAUACUUUGACUCGAGCAUGAAACUGAGUAGACACCAUAGUACAGAACUCUGGAAGGAUGGAAGCAACAUCAUGUUUAUUUUCAGCAAGAAAACCCAAGUGAGUCAGGUACAAUCAUCAAUAAAUGUGACGAACCAACGAAAUUCGUUCGAAGUAAAGCGUGCCGGACCCCACACAUCAGAAUGCACUAAAUCAAAAGGCUUUGCAGCUUUACUGACACUCAAAGGAAAUACAGUGUGAUGACUCGUGGCCAAAAUACACGUCUCAUACUUAAAACUGAACUCAUCACAAGAGCGGAAAAAAGAUGGAAACAGACUCUUAAGGUAGCCAAAUGACGGGUGUCCCAAGCGACGAUGCCAUAACCAAAUUUGUUGUUUGUCUUUGUCACUGCAACUUUGAACAGUAUUAACGACAUGAGCACAAACUGGUGUAGAAGGCAAUGUCAAAUAAUAUAACCCCCCUAUCCGUUUACCAUGCCCAAUCUUCUCGUGAGUCUUGAGAUCCUGAAAAGAGCAAUGCGUAGGAUAGAAAGUAGCAGAAGCAUUAAGUGUAUCAAGUAAUCAACCAACAGAUAACAAGUUACAAUGGAUAUUGGAAACUAGUAACGCACGAGAUAAGGACAGAGUAGGAGUGAGAGAGAUUGUGCCCUCACCAGUGAUUGGAGAGGGCAAGCCAUUAGCACUAGUUAUGUAUGGGUCACGGGUGUUACUAGACAACUCAUCAAAAAAUUUAGCAUCAUAAGUCAUAUGAUCAGAAGCACCAGUGUCAAUUAUCCAAGUAUUAGAGCCAGUAUCUGGAAUAGAAUCAGAAACACACAAAUUUGCAGAUGCAGCAGCAACAGCACCAACAAUGAAGUUAUCACCCAUGAUUGCAGCAGAAACUCAACAGAUUAAGGCAAAGUAUACAACGGAACACAGCAGAUGCACAAAUACGGCAGAUGCAAGAAGACAGGCACGAACACAGCAGAGUAUACAGCAGAACACAGCAAUUGCACAAAUACGGCAGAUGCACGAACACAGGAAUGGCACGAACACAGUAAAGGCACGAACACGACAACACAACACACAAACCUAGGAGGGCGCACACUGCACAGGUAGAGAAAAAAAAAAAGAGGAUAGAACACAGGUGGACACAAUACACAGGUCUCCAUAAAAGUUGGCUCUGAUGCCAAGUCAAACAAUAUGGGUACAAUAUUUUUCAGGUUAUAUUUUAUUCUCCAAAAGAAGGUAUUUAUAGUACAAGGAUGUAACCCUAGUAGGGUCAAACUAGAAAACAAGAUAAAAACCUAAUUACACAAUAUCUGUACAAAAAGGAAAGAAAUAUAAUCCUAAUAAACAAGAAAAUAAAUAUCAUAAUUAAACUAGGAUCUCGCAAUACCAUAUCCUUCCAUCUUAGCCAUACCAUAAUUUUGUCUUUUUUCUUCAUUUUGUUUUUCUCAUUCUAUCUGAUCCAAGAAAGCCUUUAGAUUCCUAUCAGAAGAGCCACCUUCACUCACAGCCUCUCUUGCCAAACCCUUCCAUUUCUUAGCAUUUCUUCUCAACUCUUCACCAAUCUCCCCACUUCCCAUGACCAAUUCUAAGCACCUCUUGAGCUCCUCACCUACAACAAUACCCUCAUCAUUUGGUGUCACCCUAACACCAGUCUUCCACGUGUCCUCAAUCAACUUGGCAUUGGUCCCUUGGUCCGUCCACUGAGGAAAAGCCACCACAGGCACCCCGGAAACCAGGCUCUCCAAGCUUGAAUUCCACCCGCAAUGUGUCACGAAACAACCCAAUGAAGGGCUUGACAAAACCUCCACUUGGCUACACCAUGGCACUAUCUUCCCAAGCUCUUCCAACUCCUCUCUGCAGCUCAGUUUCUCUUCCUCCUUAUCAGCCUCCUUAUCUUGUCCUUUGCUUUCUUCUUUUUCUCUAAUCACCCACAAGAACGGCCGCCCGCUGUCCAGCAACCCUUUCGCGAUUUCCUCCAUUUGGGGCUUCGACAGAACGGACAUGCUUCCAAACGACACGUAAACCACGGACCCUUCGGGCCUCGAGUUCAGCCACUUGAUGUACGAAGAGUCCUCUGAUUUUUGGAAAAGAUCACCGCGGAAUGACUUGUCGGAUGGAUCCUUGCCGUCCAAGAGAGACGAUGGAAUCAAUGGCCCGAUUCCAAUCAGAUUGUACUUGUCAAUUGCUUUCAAGGCCUCUGACUCCAGCGCAUCGAACGUGUUCACCAGAAUGAUGGGCUUGGUUUCUCUCUCGAACACCUCAAAUUGCUCUUCAAACAAGAGAAGCGCGAAACUGUACAGAUUUGAAUCCACCAUGAAAGAGGGAAGGUCGCGGCUGGUGAGGGAUUGUGGCAAUCCUGGUAAUUCUAUUGAACAUAAAGCGCCAUUGGUAUGAGUAGCACUAGUACUGUUCUGGAUGAGGUCUUUGUAACCGCUAAAAUAAUAGUAGUAGAUGUCGAAAACAGUGGCUGGCUGAAUCCACACGAGAACGGAUGGGAGGUGGAGCUCACGGGCCACCACCGCGGCCCAAGGGAGAAGUAUUGUGUAGAUUAGGCAAGUGUAGGGGCG
rnacentral:lncRNA from 1 species